GACGAACGCUGGCGGCGUGCUUAACACAUGCAAGUCGAACGGAAAGGCCCUGCUUUUGUGGGGUGCUCGCGUGUCGAACGCGUGAGUAACACGCGAGUAACCUGUCCUUGUCUUUGGGAUAUCUUCUUGAAACUCGGGCUCUUACCGGAUAGGAGUUUCUGCUGCAUGGGGGGUGUUGGAAAGUUUCGGCGCGUGGGGCUGGACUUGCGGCUUAUCACCUUGUUGGUGGGGUUGUGGCUUACCACGGCUUUGACGGGUAGUCGACCUGAGAGGGUGAACGGCGACAUUGGGACUGAGAUACGGCGCAGACGCGUACGGGAGGCAGUGGUGGGGAAUAUUGCACAAUGGGCGGAAGCCAGAUGAAAAAACGCCGCGUGCGGAAUGACGGGCUUCGGGUGGUAAACCGCUUUCGCAGGUGACGAAGCGGGAGUGACGGUAAUGGGUAAAGAAGCACCGGCUAACUACGUG
rnacentral:rRNA from 1 species